UUUAAGCAUAUAAUUAAGCGGAGGAAAAGAAACUAACUAGGAUUCCCUCAGUAACGGCGAGUGAAGCGGGACUAGCUCAGGAUGUGAAUCUGCGCUUUUAUGGCGCCGAAUUGUGGUCUGUAGACCUUGACGUUAUUUGCCGGGCCAAGUUCCUUGGAAAAGGACAGCUGAGAGGGUGAGACUCCCGUCCGCCUGGCAGAGUGAGUCAUGUGUCAACGAGUCGAGUUGUUUGGGAUUGCAGCUCUAAUUUGGUGGUAAAUUCCAUCUAAAGCUAAAUAUUGGUGGGAGACCGAUAGCGUACAAGUACCGUGAGGGAAAGAUGCAAAGAACUUUGAAAAGAGAGUUAAAGAGUACCUGAAAUUGCUGAAACGGAAGCGAAGGAAACCAGUGUUUGUUGGUUCAUAUUUCCCUAGCCACUUGUGGUUUGGGCGCUGUGAGCUUGCGUGAGUUUGGGUUGGUUGAUCCCUUUGGAAGAGCGCAGACAGAGUUGAUGUUUGUUGCUAGCACUGGGUUUGACUGAUGCAGACGAAAUGGUUUUCUUUACCCCGUCUUGAAACACGGACCAAGGAGUCUAACAUAUGUGCGAGUACAGGGGUGUCAAACCUCCGUGCGUAAUGAAAGUGACAGUGGUUGGAUUAAUUUGCACAAUCCGCCGGCCUCAAUCCUUCGGGAGAACGGUCUGAGUGUGAGCAUACAUGUUGGGACCCGAAAGAUGGUGAACUAUGCCUGAAUAGGGUGAAGCCAGGGGAAACUCUGGUGGAGGCUCGUAGCGAUUCUGACGUGCAAAUCGAUCGUCAAAUUUGGGUAUAGGGGCGAAAGACUAAUCGAACC
rnacentral:rRNA from 1 species